ACUCCUACGGGAGGCAGCAGUGGGGAAUAUUGGACAAUGGGGGCGAACCCUGAUCCAGCCAUGCCGCGUGAGUGAAGAAGGCCCUAGGGUCGUAAAGCUCUUUCAACUGUGAAGAUAAUGACGGUAGCAGUAGAAGAAACCCCGGCUAACUCCGUGCCAGCAGCCGCGGUAAUACGGAGGGUGCGAGCGUUAAUCGGAAUUACUGGGGCGUAAAGCGCAUGCAGGCGGCCUGUUAAGUCAGAUGUGAAAGCCCGGGGCUUAACCUCGGAAUUGCAUUUGAAACUGGCAGGCUAGAGUCUUGUAGAGGGGGGUUAGGAAUUUCAGGUGUAGCGGUGAAAUGCGUAGAGAUCUGAAGGAAUACCAGUGGCGAAGGCGGCCCCCU
rnacentral:rRNA from 1 species